rnacentral:rRNA from 1 species
UUAUGAGCACAGAUCAGACGUGGUGACCCGCUGAAUUUAAGCAUAUUACUAAGUGGAGGAAAAGAAACGAACCAGGAUUCCCUCACUAACUGCGGCUGAAGAGGGAAGAGCCCAGUGCUGAAUCGCCAUCUGGUGGCGGGCACAGGAAAUGUGGUGUACAGGAGACCAACUCCCCAGCGUGGCUCCGGGGGUCCUUCUGACCUAGGCUCAACCCACAGACGGUGUUAGGCCAGUAGCUGUCCCCUGCACACUGGGAUCAUGUCUUUUUGGAGUUGAGUUGCUUGUGAAUGCAGCCCAAAGCAUCUGAGACUUAAUACGGGUACGAGACCAAUAGUCAACAAGUACUGUAAGGGAAAGUUGAAAAGAACUUUGAAGAAAGAGUUGGAGUCCAUGCAGUCCACCUGGAGGAUUGUACAUGGCUGACAGGUCGGUCACCCAGAACAGCAGAUCGCUUGUGGGACCACCACCCAGGCCCACCCGGCCCCACAGGGCACAUUUCCUCCAUGGCAGUGCACCGCAACUGACUCCAGGUCGGCUGGAAAGGCUUUCGCCAGAGAGUGUUGCAGUCGCCUGGCAGCAGAUUCACCAUUUCCAUGGACCAAAGGAGAUUGAUUGCCACCGUGUCCUCUUCCGAUAACCUAUACGGUCUCUCUCAGGGGUCACCGGGGAUGCAAAGUUGGAUGAAGCCCCUGCUCCUGGUGCAACUGUCAACUAGGGUGGACUGUCCUCAGUGUGUCCCGACGGCAUUGCGCACUGGGCGUGAUGACCCACGAAGAGCACCUGGUGUGCAGGGUGAUGUAUACCCCGCAACCUAUCAUGAAACACAGACCAAGGAGUCUAAAGACCAAACAAAACCCUGUGGCGCAUGAAAGGUGAGGGCCGGCAUGCGCCAGCUGAGGUGGGAUCCCAUCAGUGUGUCACGGCGGGCCCACCACUGGCCCACUCUGUCAGGGGAGGUAGACCAUGAGCAUGUAUGAUAGGACCCAAAAGAUGGUGAACUAAUCAUGGGCAGGGUGAAGCCUGAAGAAACUCUGGUGGAGGUCCAUAGUGGUCCUGACAUGCAAAUCGGUCAACCGACCUGGGUCAAAAUACUAAUCAAACCAUCUAGUAACUGGUUCCCUCUGAAGUUUCUCUCAGGAUAGCUGAUGCUCGGAAACCCCAAUUUUAUCUGGUAAAGAAAAUGAUUAGAGGUCCUGUGGCCAAACUUGUGUGGAUAAGGCAUCGAAUGCGAGUGCUCAGUGGCCCACUUUUGGUAAGCAGAACUAGUGCUGCAGGAUGAACUGAACACCGGGUUAAGGCGGUUGAUGCUGAUGUUCAUUAGACCCCAGAAAACGUGUUGGCUAAUAUAGACAGCAGAACGGUGGCCAUGGAAGAAGGAAUCCAGUAAGGCGUGUGUAACAACUCACCCGCCAAAUUAACUAGCCGUGAAAAUGGAUCGUGCUGGAGCAUCAGGUCCAUAUACGGCCAGCACUGCCGCUGAGAGCCACGGGGGCUAAGAUGAAAUUAGUAGGAGAGCCACUGUGGUGAGCUCAGAGGCCUGGGGCGAGGGCCUGGGUGGAGCCACAGCUGGUGCAGAUCUUGGUGGUAGUAGCAAAUAUUCAAAUGAAAACUUUGAAGGCCAAAGUGAGAAGUGUUUCAUGUGAACAGCAAUUGAACAUGGGUCAGUCGGUCCUAAGAAAUGGGUGAGCACCGUUUAGAAGGGAUGGGCGAUUGCCUCUAUUGCCCUCAGCCAAUUGAAAGAGAGUCAGGUUCAGAACCCUGAACUGAGACUGGCAGAGACGGAUGCCCUUGCAGCGUCCAGUGAGGCAACGUAAAUGAUCGCAGAGAAGCCAGUGAGUGCCCCAAAGAGGGUUUUUUUCUUUGUGCAGGGCAGAGCACCCUGGAAUGGUGAGUGAAAGGAGGGGACUCUUAAAACCCUCCCCCUUAUUCCCAUGCCUCCCGAGUGGGCCCAGUCAUGGCUGCUUCAGGUCCAGGGCCCCGGCACUGGGGCACUCAUGCGGGAACACUUCCGGGAACCAUCACCCCUUUCGUACAAGUACAUCCAUGGGUGCUGCCAUAUCCCAGUGUAUACCCUCGUACUGCAAAACCAA